rnacentral:rRNA from 1 species
UACGUAGGGCGCAAGCGUUGUCCGGAAUUAUUGGGCGUAAAGAGCUCGUAGGCGGUUUGUCGCGUCUGCCGUGAAAGCCCGGGGCUUAACUCCGGGUCUGCGGUGGAUACGGGCAGACUAGAGGCAGGUAGGGGAGAACGGAAUUCCCGGUGUAGCGGUGAAAUGCGCAGAUAUCGGGAGGAACACCAAUGGCGAAGGCAGCUCGCUGGGACGGUACUGACGCUGAGACGCGAAAGCGUGGGGAGCAAACAGG